GGAGUAUAAAAACUACUCAAAGCCAGGAAUGGUAGUGCACCCCUAGUAGUCAAAGCCACUGGGGAGGCUGAGCCACCAAUUCCCCUGAGCUCUCCAGUUCAAGUACCGGGGAUUGAACGCAGCAGGACCUUUUGCUUACAAGACAAGCGCAGUGCCACUGAGCUAAAUCCCCAGCCCACGCAUUGUUUUUGAUGAGGCACCAGGAGAGAACCAUUUCAGGACAAGAAAGGGCCAUGAACAGCCUGGUGUUCUUUGACUAUGGAAAGAAAGUGACUACGGAAUCAGCCACUGGAUUGCAAAUGUGUCGUACCCAUGCAGAAGAGGAUUAAUAAAAUAAUUAAUUUUUUAUGUAGUUCAGUUCAAUGUAUUUAUUUGAAAAUAAGAUUAAAUAAUCUUUUGAUGCAGACAGUUUCAUUGGUAUUUAUUCAUUCAUCCAGUGUGAGCAG
rnacentral:lncRNA from 1 species